CAGGUGCUGGGCCUGCCAGCACCACAGACGCGGCUGCCGUGCUGCGCCUGUGAGGCCAGGGCGCAGAGGAAAGGGCUUUUCUACGCUCAGCGCUCAGAGCAGUGGGCACUGAGGAUGGUGUGUAGCCUGACAUGC